rnacentral:rRNA from 1 species
UACGUAGGGUGCGAGCGUUAAUCGGAAUUACUGGGCGUAAAGCGUGCGCAGGCGGUCUGUUAAGACCGAUGUGAAAUCCCCGGGCUUAACCUGGGAAUGGCAUUGGUGACUGCACGGCUAGAGUGUGUCAGAGGGGGGUAGAAUUCCACGUGUAGCGGUGAAAAUGCGUAGAGAUGUGGGAGGAACACCGGUGGCGAAGGCGGGUCUUCU